AUGAUUCGAUCUAGGGUUAGUGGUUCGCGGAAUGGGGGUGCUUCUGGAGGUUCCUUCAAGGGUUUGGACUCCGAGCCGGGGAUGUACGGACAUGGAGGGGGCUUUAAUCCACACUUCCGUCAUGCCGCACCACCGCCGCCUCCGCCGCUGUCGCAGCAACCGCUGCCGCCUCCACCGCCUCGACCACAAGCUGGGGUGACGGCUGGCUUCCUUCAGCAGUCACUACCACCGCCACCGCCGUUGGCGCAGUACCCGCAGACCCCUGCAAUGCGUCCACCGCCUGGGCAGUACCAGCAUGGCAUGCUGCCACAUCAGAAUCAGGCCUAUCCCUAUGCCCAUCUCGGUCAGAUGCACCACAUGCCAAUGCUCCCACAUCAGAGGGGUUUUGGGCAUAUGCAAAUGCCUGGGCCGCCGCAAGCCAUGUAUCAGCCCCCUCCGCAGUAUCCCAUGCCAGUGCCUCUCCCUCCACCACCACCGCGGCCACCAAGCAUUGCUCCAGAUAACCUGCCACCUCCACCCCCGCCACCAUCUUCUCCCCCUCUCAUGCCUCCGUCACCACCAGCUGCUCCAGCAACUGCAGAGUCAUGUGCAGAGACAGAAGGAAAGGAAGGUGCCACAGAUGGUGGUCAUGAAGGCAAAAGUGAGAAAGAAGCAACUGAAUUAAUUGUAUCUGAUGACUCGGAUAUGGAUAUGGGUGGAGAUGAGGACUCACCAUCAAGGGUUCAUCUGAGCGUUGUCAAUUCUUCGCCUGCUGCUGCUGAAUGCUCUGGAGAUAAUAAUACUGUUAAUGUGCCAAAGGCUGUUAAUGACAUGUCCAACCUUGGCAGUGAUUUGGCACCUGGCAGCAGUGGGAAGGCUAAAACUGGAAAUGUGUCUGUCGAAGCUGGGAGCCAGUUGCACUUAAUACAACAAGAUUAUGCCUCAGAUGAUAGCGAGGACGAGGAGGAGCAUACUCGUGCUUCCAGCAACCCUCUGCUGCCUGAAGAUAAUGAGCCGAAUCAAUCAAGUGAUAUAAACACUGAAAUUGGUCAUCAGCAGGUUACUUAUGCAGAGGAAAAUGUGAAUGCGGCUCCUUGCCUUCAGCAGAAUUAUGAGCCUAGAAUGCAUCAGCUUAAGGAUGAGAGAAGCCCAAUAAAUCACAACUCAGAUGAGCCGGGGCAGCCAGUCACAGAAAGUUUAAGUGGCAGUGAGUCUGCUGGAAGGCAACAUAGUGAAAGGCAUGGGAGGAUCCAGACAAAACGAAUUCGUAGCCAGUCACCUAUAGCAAGGAGGAGCUGUAGCCCUUCCGGAGAGAACAAGCACAGUCCAUCCCAAAGUUCAUCACAUGAAAGGCAAACCAGGUCACCACUUGCUAAGCGGGCUAAUCUUCAUCAGAGCAAAUCACCACACCAUGUGAGUUUGCUACCAGGACAACCACCAGUUGCAAGUUCAGAACCCCACAUGCAGUUUCAGCCAAAUGCUAUGGCACCAUCAAAUGAUUUCCUGCAGAAUCAGAUAAGAACCUAUCCUGCACCAGAUCUUUCUCAUCCUAGGCCAUUGGAUUUCCAUCCUCAUGCUCCCCAGCCAGCUCUUCCUUCUCAACAGCAGCCUGCUGCCUUCCACAAUGAUGAGUUUAAAAGCCCCUUUUCCCUCGACAAUGCACCAGUUCUUCUUCCAGAUGGACGACCAGAAUUUUCUGCUGGUGUAGGCCUAUCUUAUUCAAGUCAUCAAUCUUCAUAUAACCAGCAACAGCCUCCUCCUGGCAGUUUGGCUUCAGGAGCUAACAUAGCUUACCCAUCUUUCCAGAUAUUUCCAUCAAAUCUGCCAGGAAGUAGUGACUUGGGUCCUGUACCUAUAUCUGACAUUGUUCUGCCUAAAUCGUCUAUCAAGCCACACUACAACCCAUUUGCAUCUACCUUUGAAACAGAUCCGACUCUUGAUAUUAGUCCUAUUCAAAGUCCAAAUGCAGUUGAGUCUGCUUCAGCAAAAGCAGUAGAGCUCAUGAAUACAACUAGUCCUUUUGGUCAGUCUGUUCCUGGAUCUGGAACUCGUUUCAACGAAAGUUCUGCAGAAGUUGUGCCCAGUCGGCAGAAACAACCUUGUCCUGGCUUUACUCCUAUGGGUCCCUAUGAUCCACUUCUGGAUAGUAUUGAACCCUCAAGCAAUUCAAUCAACAAGAUGGAUCUUGGUCAAGAGGCGAAUCUGAGUGCCACUGGUAGUCGCAAUGCAUCAAAACUUGUGAACAUAGAAGUGGAGAGUAAAAAUAUGCAUGGACUCGGGCUUGUUGCCGAAUCAGAAGUUGUAGAACUUGGAGAGGUGGCAGCAGAUACUGAAACAGGUGUGGUGGAGAAUGUAAGUCCUGAGCCCUUAGGUGCUAAAGACUGGAGCUCAGAUAUUCCUGGUGAUAUCGACAAUGACCAGUCAUUGGAUGUAAGUAAGAAGAGUAAGGACUCCAGAUCAAUGAAGCUUUUUAAGGUUGCUAUUGCAGAUUUCGUUAAAGAAGUUCUUAAGCCAUCAUGGAGGCAGGGAAACAUGAGCAGAGAGGCUUUCAAAAUGAUUGUUAAGAAAACAGUUGAUAAGGUCUCUAGUUCGGUUCCUGGCAAUCAUAUACCGAAAACACCAGCCAAGAUUAGACAGUAUGUCCAGUCUUCUCAAAGGAAAGUGACCAAACUAGUAAUGGGUUAUGUUGACAAGUAUGUGAAGUUAUAG
rnacentral:rRNA from 1 species